UCGGCAGCGCCACGUUGGAAGUUGUGGCUCGGGGCGCGGGAGGAGGAGGCAAGGCGAGGGCUGGUGUUUGUGGGGAGAGGAGGCGGGGCUGCUGCUGGCAAGGGUUGUUGGCGGAGGUUGAAGUGGCCCAAAAGGAGGGUGGCACCUUCCCGGGCCGCCCUCUACCGACCGCCAGAUGGACGGUGACGACGGUGGCGCGCCCCUGGGGACCGGCCUGUCUGCCAGAUGCCCUUGUCCAGCUCACGCUUGGAGAGAUUAAUCACGUGCGGAGAGGAGACCCCCCCCCCCCCCAGACUGCCCUUCCUCUCCUUGACUUCACUGUUGAUACUGCCCUGAAUUCAGCCAGGAAGUGGAAGACAGAGCAAUCCUAUUGCAACCAUGAGGCGACUAAAGACUUGUUCGAUCCCAGAUGGUGCUGGAAAAAAUGGUGCCGAAUGCAAGAUACUUCUGAAUGUGAAUACUGUGAGCACCGGAAAAAGUAUUUGAAGAAGGAACAGAAAGUGCAGAUCCUCUCCUCCAGGAGAGCCAGACCAUGAAGCAGUCCUGUGAGGAGACACAUGGGCUAGGGACUGGGCCCUGCCAACAGCCACGUGAGUGAACUAGAAGCUGAUUCAUGGCCCCCACACCAUAUGAGAGCCCAGCCCUGGCUGACAGAUUGCCUGUAACCUCCUGAGAGACUCUGAGUCCCAGGAACCCAGCUAAACCACCUUGGAUUCCUACCCACCAAGAUGUGGGCAGUUUUUCAAAUGGACUGUAACAGAAGCUUCUCUGUUUGCACUGGGAGUCACCUCAGGUUUACAUUCAGAAAACUGAAUAAAAAUGGGCAGCAAACAACUGAGCUAAAGCAGAGGAAUGAGAAGAAGUUGUUUGAUGAGGAUUUUGCAGAAUAAUGGCACAGAACCAUUAUUAUGCAGAAGGACUUGGCGGCUUCUUGGGAAGAGUUCUCAGAAGUACGCUGAAUAAAACUCAGUAAGAAAUCGCAGAAUAUUCCUUACUUUUGAAUGUUGUGGGGAUUACACACAACAAUGUGUGUAAAGCCGUCUUCAGAUGGUGAGCACGAGCUACUGGAUAUGGUUCUUCCAAGAGGAAGCUGUUUCAGGGAUGGGUAAUCUGCUCUGGAUGACUGCUGGUGUACAGAGCCCUGCCCAGGGACCUCCAGACUCUGCUCCUAGUUUGGGUGAAGGAAACAGAGAUGUGCCAGGUGAAGAGGAACCAAACCCUUCCACAUGGACCAAAGGGAGUUAUACAGAUUAGGGGACUUUUGGCUGCAAGCCACAGAUAAACUAACAACAAAAUCAACUGGAACUCAGUUCACCCCACCUGCUCUCCCUGCUAUCCUUGGUGGCUUGGCUUGUCCUAUUAGGCUGGCUUCCCUCACAGUUUAAAGAAGGCUGCUACAAUUCCACCCAUGCCAUACAGAUGGUAGCUCUGUCCUUUUUUAUGAGCAGGGAAUAAUUUCACAGAUAUUUCCCGGCAGAUUCCCCCUCCCAUGGCACUUGACUAUGACGGCAUCCUUUCCAAACCUGAAUCAGUCACCUACAAGAGGUAUAAAAUGGCAGUGACUGGCUUAGACCAAUCAAGAUUCAUCCUGGGACUGGAGAGAGAGCCUGGUCCUCAGAAGCACAGGGCCUUCUAACCCCUGAACACAGUUGGGAUUCUGAUGUAAGGGGGGGAAGAGUUUUGGGGGCAUCAGAAAGGGAUAGCUGUACCCUUUGGUCCAUGCGACCCAUGGACAAAGCUCCUUAAAGUGUGAUCCAUGACAGAUAGGAAGCUAACAAGUAUCGGGCAGUUACUCUGCCCUGGGAGGGUACUAAUAACUGUAGAGGGGUUAUCCCAUUCUCUCAUCCCAACAGCCUGAAGCCCCCUUGUAAUGAGCUUUUUGGGGAGAAGACAGAGGGACCUUUAGUAACUGAAUCUCCUUGGGAGAGCUCAAGACUCACCUUUCUUAUAUCAAAUUGCUCUCUCUAAAUAACUGUUUUAUUGUGGUUCUGGCGAAUUUCAAUUUCUCUUUCUGGAAGUUGACCUUACCUUUCGCCACUAUGAUUUCUUCCCUGGGUUGUUUUCUGGGAUGGCAUCCUCAGCAUACAUGCCUGGGUGUCAGGGAGAGAGUCCAGUAAUAUAGAAAACCAGCCCAUAAUGGAAAGUCCUUUGAAGUUGCACAAUUAUUGAUAUUUUAUUUUUGUUUUUGAUUUUUUGAAUUGAUACACGUAAUUUUUAUAAAAUCCAAGCACAACAAAAGUACUGUUAAAAGUCAGUUUGCCUUCCACCCUAGUCUUUGCCCAAAUGCUCUCUCUCACUAUUCUAUUCCCUUCCUUCCACCUCCCUCCCUCCCUCCCUCUCUCCCCCUCCCUCCUCCGUCUCCCUUCCUUCCUUCCUUCCUUCCUUCCUUCCUUCCUUCCUUCCUUCCUUCCUUCCUUCCUUCCUUCCUUCCUCCUUCCCUUCUACUUUCCUUCUUUCCUUCCUACUUACUGAUGAGCUAUUAUAUGCAAAAGUCCAUGCCAGGUUCAGGUCUACUCAUAGAGAUUCAUGGGGUUAUCUUUGGUUCCUCACCACCCUCCCCAACAUUGAUUUUCACAAAACCUCCUCAAGUCCUACUCCCUUGGUCCAUUCAUUGUUCCUCACUGACCCAUUGUGCCAGCUUCCAACAGCCUCCUGUGCCCCACUGCCUUCUUGCUCUGUUCGGUCUCCAUCCUCUUUAAGGGCAUUUUUUUAAGUAGACUAUGUCGUGGGCCGAAUUGUGCCCCACCUCCAUUCACAUGUUGAAGCCCCAACCCCUAGUGCUCUCACAAUGUGACUGUGUUUGAAAAUAAAGUCUUGAAAGAGGUGAUUAAGUUAAACUGAGGCUGUUGGGGUGAUCCUAAUCCAAUAGGUCCAGUGUCCAUAUGAGAAGAGCAGAUUAGGACACAGAGAGGUACACAUAGGGAAGAGCAUAUGAGGAGACACAAGGAGAAGACAGCCAUCUGGGGCAGGAGAAAGGCCAAGGAGGUAGGCCUCAGGAGAAACCAACUUUGCCCACAGCUUAAUCGUCAGACCUCUAGAACUGUGAGAAAAGUUUCUGUUAUUUGAACCACCCAAUCUGUGGUACUUUGCUUCAGAAGCCCUAGAAAAUGAACACAGACCACAUAUAAUCAAGUCCCUCAUUUGUUCAAAAAGUUUUUAAUGGCUUCUAGUUUCUUAACAUUAAGGUAAAAUUCUUCUCCCAGGCCUUUAAGGGGCCUCAUGACCUGGCGCUAACCUACCUUUGCUGUCUUCACUGCUUAUCUAUCCAUCCUCUAUGUUUGCUCACACUGGAUCGGCUUCCAUGCAGUGGACAAGGCCUGUGUCCCCCUACCUCUGGGCCUUUGAACAGGUUGUCCUUUCCGUCAAAAAUAUGUUUGCAUUCCCCAACCAUGUCCCUCCCAUUUCUAACUGUUGGAAUCAUGGCUAUUCCUCAAACCCAGCCUGAAUGCCCCUAGUGGGUCACUCUCAUCUACCCCUGCGUCACUUUGCAAAAUUGUUGUGAUAGGCAUUGUAUUCUGCCCCACAUUCUACUGAGGUGGUUUUUGAUUUGACUAAAAUUCUCAGGCAUAGGUUCUCCAUCUUGCUUAUUUUUCAGUCUUCAAUCUAGGAUGGUUAGACAAGUAGCGUAUUUUCACAAAUAUGAAUGGAAUUACAAUGACAGGCCAGAUUGAAAAAUAAGAUCAAAAUUAGGGCACAGACAUGAAAAUAAUGUCCCUAAAAAAUAAGAAAUAAAAAAGAUGGACUAAAAUGGUGUCAAUUUUGGGAUGACCCAGAGGAAGAAGUGAAAUCCUGAUGGAGAGAAACCUCAACAGUAAAAAGACAGUUCCUGGGCGCCUGGGUGGCUCAGAUGGUUAAGCGACUGCCUUCGGCUCAGGUCAUGAUCCUGGAGUCCUGGGAUCGAGUCCCACAUCGGGCUCCCUGCUCAGCAGGGAGUCUGCUUCUCCCUCUGGCCCUCCUCCCUCUCAUGCUCUCUGUCUCUCAUUCUCUCUCUCACAAAUAAAUAAAAUCUUAAAAAAAAAAAAAAAAAAAGACAGUUCCUUCUCCUGAUAUUGCAGCUGUAUUUUAAAAUAUAGACGACUUAAGAUAGAACUUUGGCUGAAUAUUCUGGAAUGUUUUCUGAAAGGAAAACAGUUGAUCUCUGGAGACAACUCCCCAGUAGCUUUGCCUUGGAAAGCUGGCUGGACGGAGGAGCUUCUGAAGUCUUUUUACUCUGGAAUUGACUUGCCUUUGAGAUGCUUUGCUAAAGUGUGAACAGCGGUAUUCAGCGGGGAGCAGGCUUCCAAGAGCAAGCAUACGCCCUCAAAACCAUCUACUAUGCAAACAUGUGGAAGCCAUCUAUAAAUUGUAAGCGUGGGUUGGCCUGGACCUGCUGAAACACGAUCAAAGGGAAAGUGAUUUAUAUAAUCUCUCCUUUCCCAUGUGAUUUUGGGGCUGUACUGGAGUGAGGAACUCAAUCAAAAGUUUUAAAAAAAUAAGGAAAACAAAACACAAGAGUCCCACCUCUUCCCCCAGACACCUGCAAAAUGAGAGAAAAAUACUUUCUUCUCAUUGCAAGAGAAAACUGGGAGAUGAAGCUGUUAGCCAUGUGAAAUCUAGUGGGAAAAUGGGUGGAUUUUUUUUCCCCUAGUGAAUCUUAAAGCUGUAAGGCUUUUUCUCCCUUCCUUUUCUUUUUCUUUCUUUCUCCCUUCAUCCAUUACAUUAGUGAGGCUUGCUGACGAGGACUUGAGCAGCUUCUGUAAUGAUCCCCAGGCCUCCCCAACACAGUGGCACAUUAAAACGUAUGCAGAAGCCAAGUACAUGGGGAAGGAGCCCUAGCAGCAAUGGGGAAUUAAAUGGGCCGUUGUCCCUGGGGCUCUGCUUUGCAGCUCAGUGUAGAGAAGGGGGGGACUUUGUGUCCCUGGAACAUGCCUGAUGGUGUUGGAUUUCUGGGGUGCCCCCGUGUCCCAGCUGUCAAAGCCAGGAGGUUUCUGGGAGGAAGGAAGUCAAGCUGGAGACAAGGAAACGGGGGUGGAGUCAGGACCUGCGUCUGUGGUGUGAAGUUGUGGUAGGGGCCAGAAAGAUCCCCACCUACCCAGACACUCUUACUCAGUUGCUAAGUGUCUAAAGUCAGGCUCUCAGAAGCAGAACCUGAGACAGGAGAACUUGUGCAAGGGGUUUAUUGAAGAAGGGCUCUCAGGACAAGGGAGGGAGGGGCCGGGGAAGGGAAGGGGGGUGAAGGGACAGCUAAGCGAGGAUGUGGGCUCCACUGGAGGCCAGCUUCAACCUGAUCCCACGGAAGCCUCUCGAGCAUGAGUCAUGCCACACGUUGCUUUCUUUUGAGGCAAAAAGGCCAGCCUUUUGUACUUCCAUGUUUGGUCGCUGAUCGCUGGCCGUGAGAGGGGCAGUGGUGGGGUAACAUCUGCUCGGACAACAGGGAUGUUCAGGAGAAGGGGCAGGAGUGAGUUACCCGCUGUGUUAGUGCUCUAGGGUUGUCACCAAAGAGCCACAGACCAGAGGGCUUAAACAACAGACAUUUCUGGUCUCCCGGUUCUGGAGGCAGGAGUCCAAAUCAAGGUGUCUGCAGGGUUGGUCUCUUCUGAGAGGGGUGAGGCAGGAUCUGUUCCAGACUUUUCUCUGUGGUUUGUGUCUUUUCCUGCCUUUCCUCACCUCCUCUUGCCUCUCUGUGUGUCUGCGCCCAAAUCUCCCCUUUCUAGGGGACACCAGUCAUAUGGGAUUAGGGUCCACCCUAAUGACUUCAUUCUAACUUGAUUACCUCUGUAAGGACCCCAUUUCCAAUAAAGUCGCAAUGUAAGCUGAACUGGAGUCUGAGUAACAAGGGAUCAGAUUUCUCCCUGUGUGGGUAGAGCUGCCUGACUCCCCAAUUCCAUCGGCUGCCUGUGCUCGGCUCCCUCUCUGGCUUCUGUCUUUGCCCAGGAACCUCGGAUCCCGGGGAGGUGACCGAGAACAUGUUGGCAGCGGUCAUGCGGAUCCACACUUGAAGCUUUCUGAUGGGCUCUGCUCAGGACAAAGUUCGUCAACACGGGACGCUGGGAACCAUGGCUGCCUCUGAGGGUCUGAGGGAAGUUCUUGGGCACAAUGGGCACAAGUAGGUUUUCACAAGCUCCUUAGUUGAUGCCGAGAACGUAGAAACUGCUUCUCUCUUCUUUCAGGAGAAAAAGGAGCAGCAUUUCUGAUUGAAGACACCUUAGUCUUGGGGAUCUGAUUCUUGCAGAGAAAAGACUCUCUUCGUGGGGGCCUUUCUCUGUUCCUAUUUGGUGAAAAGGAGACCACAGUGGAUGGGGCAUGUGGGGGCAAGUGCAGGAAAGGCCAGCAGGGGACCAACACAGACGGGGCGACGCGGUACAGAGGUGCUCAUUGCUACAAUAGAGUUGGCUUCCGAGCAACUUCAAUUACUUGUUAGGUGUUUAAAAUAGGUAAAGUAUAUAUGUGUGUAUUGUAUAUCGUGUUAUCAUUACACCUAAGCAAAAGUAAUGGGAAUGGCUUUGUAUCAGGACUGACUUAGUAUCAUUAAAUUCCCAGGUUGUCCUCCGUGGGUGUCUCCCCCCCCCCCCCCCCCGCCCCAUCCUCGUGUGUGUUAUAGAUGUGUGUUUCUUGUUUGUUUCAAUCAGGAUGCUAACAAGGCACACUGGGUGACAUCUCUCUCACGUCAGUCUUAAUCCGCAGGGUUUCCCUGCAGUUCUUUGCCAGUGCAACUGAGGGUUUAUCCUGUAGAUUCUCCAGCAGUCUGGCUUUUGCUGAUUCGUCCUCCUUGGGACAUUGAACACAUCCCUCUGUCUGCUGUACUUCCUAUGAAGUGGUAGGAGGAUGGAGGAUCAGAUUCAGAUUUGGUUUAUUUGGCAAGGUUGCUCCUGUGUGCUGGGGUGAGCUCCCUUCCACUGGAAGUAAGCAAAAAUUAUCUGGCUCUCUCUGAUGUUGGACACUGUGGAGGAGCACAUUCUUCUUGUUUUUUUCUUUGAUCACUCUCUAAAAAUAUAAAACCAGUCUUAGCUUGGGGGCUGUAUGAAACUAUCCUCAAUUAACUAAAUCCAUUACUUUAUUAGAGAUUGCAGAAUGGUGAUGGUCUCACUCUUCACUCUUCAUUUAUUAGCUGGAUUAUUUCUAUAAAGUAAAAGUUACCCCUUAUCACUGACUUAAUAACCCUGAGGGACAGUUCGUUUAGGAAGGGCAGGAUAAAUGCUUGAAUUUUUUUCUCUUUACUUACUGAUUUUAAUAAUAAUGAGUCCCUAGACUUUUUUUCAAAGACAGUCAACACUUUUUUUAGUAUCAUUAUGAAUUUAUGGGUUUAACCAUAUUUCACAUAUUUUAAUCCAAUGCAUUGAUUGUCCUUAUUGGAAAUCAAAUUUGGCUGUCUUUGACCAGGUUGGUCCCUGAAUUUUUAAAAUAGUUUUAUUGAGAUAGAUAAUUCACAUGCCAUACAAUUUACCCAUCUAAAGUUUAUAAUUCAGUGGUUUUUAGUAAAUUCAGAGUUGUACAGCCAUUAUUACAAUCAAGUUUAGAACAUUUUUGUCACCCCAGAAAGAAGCCCUGUAUCCAUUCGCAAUCACUCCCAGUUUCCCUCCACCUGUGUCCUCCUCCCUCACACCCCCCAGAUCUAGGCAACCACUGUUUGACUUUCUGUCUCCAUGGAUAAGCCUAUUCUGGACAUUCCAUAUAAAUAGAAUGAUACGAUAUGUGGAUUCUUUUACCUGGCAAAAUGUUUUCAAAGUUCAUUCAUGCUGUAACAGAUAUCUAUACUUUGUUUCCUCUUAUUGCUCAAUAUUAUUUCAUUCUAUGGGUAUACACAUUUUAUUUACCCAUCCAUCCCUUGAUGGACAUUUGGUUGUUUUCACUUGGACCCCAAGUUAUUUUGAUAGAACCCUAGCAGUCUUUGAUAGCUUCCUUGCUUUCUGGUAUGAUAAGAUAUUUGGACUCCUACAAGCCCCGGACUUGUAAGAGCCUGUUUUCCAAGGAGCACUUAUUCCCUUAAAUGGGAAAAUUAGGGUCAAGACCAAAAACUGGGCACUGGGGAUUCUUAUUGCUGUUGGGCUGGUCACUGAUUCUGGGACUUGGAAUACACAGAGAUAGGAAAUAUUUUUGUGUGUUUAUUUGCUGUUUAAGAUAAACUCUAUCCAGAGUUCAUGCCGAAACUCCCAAUUCAAAGUUUAGGGCCAUAGUGUUUUUGGUUAGCCUCAUCAAUCUUACAUUCAAAUCUUUUCUUCUAUGUUAAAAUUCAGGAUCUCAGUGACACCAAUGCAAUUAAUCAUUUGCAUUAUCUCAUAGCACACACAUACACAUUUCAAAUCACUAUAUCAACAUUUACAGGAGCAAUUUAUUUAUUGAAAACAAUUUAAGAUUUGUUUGAAGUUAUUUUUCCCUUAGGGAGUUGUCACUGGAGAUGUACAGUUGGGAACGUGUUUUAACAACAUAUAGAAUUAGUUUUUUUGUGUGGUUAUACUAUCUACUCAGUAUCAUUUAAGUUCAUUUGAUUCACUUUAUUUUUGAUUCUUAGGGAUUUUUUUAAGUUAAUUUUGUUUUGUAACUAUGGUCUUAAGAUUAAGUCUAACAAGAUUUAGUCAAAGAAGUCUAGCUUUAGUCUCCAUCUCCUCUAUCCUAUUCCUUCUUCUUUCUAUAGGCAACCAUUAAUGUUUUUUUUUUUAAUUUUAAGCAAAUUCCUAUAUAUUCAUAUUCCCGUUUUUUCUUAGCCUAUCAUAUUUACUAUUCUCCACCUUGCUUUUUUCAUUUGACCAUACAUCUUAGAGAUCACUUCAUAAUGGAAAUCUUCCUUAUUAUUUUUAUUUUUUUUAAUACUGCAAAGUACCCUGGAACUUUAUGGAUGUAUCUGGUUAAUUCACCUUGCAUCUAACUGAUGGACAAUUGAGUUCCCCCAAGUUUUGUGCAAUCUCACAAAUAGUGCUGUAAUGAAUAAUCUUUUGAAUACAGGUUUUCAAAUAUUUGCCUGUGUAUAAUUGGGCUAGAUCCUAAAAGUGGGAUAGGUAGGGUAAAGAAGAAGCACAUAUUGUCAAAUUUUGGAAUUUUGCCAAUACAUUAAUUCAUUAGGGGUUGCAAAAGAGUGGUAUUUCAAUUCCAUCAUUCUUCAUGUAUUAGCUGGGACAGUUCUAUAAAGAGAAAAUUCCCGUUAUCACUUCUUUGAUUACGCUGAAUGACAGUCCAUUUAGGAAAGGCAGGAUAAAUGCUUGAUUCCUUCUCUUCACUUGCUUAUUUUCCCAGUAAUGAAUUGCUUCUCAGGCAUCCUCCAGGGAGGAACAACGAAGACUUUUUGCCUGUUUGUGUCGUUAACGAACAUAUAGUUGUAACCAUAUCUGAUGUGUUUCAAUCCGGUGGUAUUUCAGUAUAAUUUCAAUUUGCUUUUCCCUUAUUAUGAGCAAGAUUGAACAUCCUUUUAUCUAAGAGUCAGUCACAUUUAUUUUUCCAUAAACUAUUCAUUUAUAUGUCUACAUUCCUUUUUGGUAGAGUCGUUGCCCUUUCCCCCCCUUGUUUUUAGAACCUCUUUAUGUAUUAGACUUACUGACUCUCUAAUGUUUUUUUCUGUGUGUCAUUUGUCUUUCCACUUUGCUUAUGCUUAUUCUUUUGCCAUAAAAGUUUUUCCUUUUAUAAUCAGAUCUUCUCUGACGGCUCUUCCUUUUCUCUGUCCUUUACCGCAUUUUCUUACAUAAUAGCACACAUCCAGGAAGGCUCUUCCCGCUCAGACCCUUACAGCUUUCUCCCACGUCAGGCUUCUUCUCGGAGCCCCUCUUUACUCUUCAGCCGGUGUCUCCGACUCCUUCUAUUGCUCUCUCUCAAUCUCCUUUUUGGUCUUAAGCUUUUGUUUUCCCUGUUUUCUCCUUUGUAAUUCCAUUGGUGAGCAUAUUGGAGUAUAAUUAGGACUAAGUAAAAAAAAUAAAAUCCCAUCCAGGAAAUGAGGUCUUAAAACUAAUAUAUGAAAACUUUUUACUGUACAUGUUUAAGGUUUUGUUCCUAGAAAGGCUGCUUUUUGUGUGUAAUGUAAAGCACACAGUACAUAGCUUAGCUUAUCCUGAAGAUCCUCAAUGAUAAGAAUAAUGGUGAAAAUCUCCAUUUAGUGGGCAUCUCCCACAUGCCAGAUGUUGUGCUAGAAACUCAUCCAUCCAUUUAACAAAUAUUUAUUGAGUUCCAGGAACCAUUCAAAGUGCUGUGGAUAAAGUCUGAAUUCUCAGUCCUCACUGAGCUUACAUUGUAGGAGGAAGACAGAAAAUAAAUGACAUAAAUCAACAAAAUAUAUAAGGUCCAUCUUCACCCUGCUCCUCUAGAAAGUAAAGGUUGAGGUCAGGGUGGGGAGAAUAUUCUCAUAAGGACAUUGGCUUUUGCUUGGCAUGAGACAGGAAGCUGUUGGAGGGAGGUCUUAGAACAGAGGAGGUGACAUUAAUCUGACUUAAGUUUUUCACAGGAUCAGAACAACCCUGUAAAGUCAGUGAUUCAGGCUCCAGAAAUGCACUAAUUUCCUGAUGGUCACACAGAGAGAAGGUGGUGGAGCCAGGACUUGAAACCAACUACUCUCUUGCUCGUGCUCUGUUAGGUCUCAUUGUUCAGAUUCAGCUGGAAUUCACCACUUCCCCACCAUCCAACCCUGUCUCUGUUGAGUAGCAAUCUCGAAAUCAGGCAUCGAAUGAAUGCAGACCUGGGCACCAUGGAGCACACAGAGAAGACCCUCUCUCAGGUCAACGCACGCUCUUUGUCAAGUGAUGGAUGCCUCUGUCUGGGGUCACAGGUGGCUGUCCCCUUGGCACUGUUUUACCAUGUGACCUGAGGCACUCUCUGGGCCUCAGGCUCUUCAUCAAGGAAUGACAAUAGCUCAGAUAGCUCUGUUCAACUCACAGAGUUGGGAAAAUAAAAUGUGGGUAACAAAACAGGGUCACACAUUAUAAAGUGCUGUGCAAAUACUCGACACUGCAUCACAGGAUCCUACCUGUUCAUACUCUGAGAACCUCAAAGCUCUGUGGAAAAACAGUUAAAUUUAACACAGAUUUUAUUUUAGAGAAUUCAUAUUGUUAAAAAAAUGAGAUAGCGCAUCAUUUCAGGCAAAGGAGAACGGUUCUGUUUUAGAAUUCUCUAGUUAUCCUCUACCUUCUCCGAGUAUAAUUGAGUGCUAUAAUACUGUUUAUUGCUCUCUAUUCCUUUGGGUGUUGCAGUAUAUUGAGUAAAUUCAUAGAGUGCUAUGGAGUAGCUGUCCAAUUCACCGGAUUACAAAUGAGAGGAUGAACAAGCUGCUUCACUGACCAUUUGUUCCGGAGGUUCCCAUUAUGGGGCCAUUUUGAUGCGUCCAUCAAACCAGGGGCACGGUGGAGUAGGCAGCUGCAAUUCGUGCCUCAGAGACACACACCGCUUCUGGAUCUCCACCCUCAACAUUAUUUCCAUGUUGUAAGAACACCACAUGAUUUCAGAGUUGGUAGAAUCAUCGGAUGAUAUCUGAUCCACUUUCCUUUUAAAGCCUACAGGAUGGAGGUGGAGAGAGACUCGGAGUCCUGUGGAGACUGCAGAGCCAUGGUUCUCACCCCUGAGCCCGUUUCUUGAUGGCUCUUUCAUGGAUUCAAGGAGACGGCUGCAGUCUUUAGUUUGGGGAUACAGGAAAAUAUUCCAGAGCAGUGGUUCUCAAGCAAGGGGAUUUUUUUUGCCCCCUCUACCCUCGGUGGACGUUUGGCAAUGUCUGGAGACAUUCCUGCCAUGAUUGGGCGGUGGUGCCACUGGCAUCUGGGGGUCCAAGGACAGGGAUGCUGUUAAAUCCCACAGUGCCCAGGACAGCCCCCACAACAAAGCAGGAUCCAGCUCAAAAUGCCAGUCGUGCUGAGGCUGAGACACCCUGGUCUAGAUGGACUGGCUGAGAAGUUUUAAACGUUGAUCCAGAAGCCAGUGUGAAAGUUCUUCAACAUUUCAGUGAUGAAAGGAUGAAAUAAUCCCCAAGGGAAACCGGCUCAGCUUUAUUAGGACAAUCUCUCUUCUGGGCUUGCUCUCCGCAGGGCAGUCUGUGCAUUUAGUUUGGAGACCGUGAGGCUAAUGCCACCCGGGGCCAGGGGCGAAUAGGCUGAGGGAUCCCACCACGGCAAGAUGCCCACAGGCAGGUCUUUUCAACGUAGAGCUCGGAUGUAUUUUGGCCUUUGGCUCCUACUUAUUAAAAAACCAGCUUAUUGUUUAUGUGUGAAUUAUAUUAUUGAGUUCCUGACAUGCUGGGUUUACAGUUUUAUGACAUCAAAUCUGUGGAUUGUGUUGUUGAAACUUCUUCAAUUGCUUUUUCGUUGACGAGAAAACGAUUCUUCAUGCAGACUAAUUUUUCUCCCAUAUUUUCUUGAGUUUCUUGUCUCUUGCAUAUUUAAUUCUUGAAGACAUCAGCAACCUAUUUUCGUAUGUGGGUUUCUGUACCUGAUUUUCUUCUAGUUCCGUUUAUUGAAAAAUCAAUAGCCUUUGUAUAUUUCCAGGAUUUGUUUCACGUUUACCUCUCCUUUUCCACUCAUCUGUUUACUUCUUGCACCAUACAAUGCUUUUCAAUUAUUAUAGCUUUAAAAUAUGUUUUAAUAUUUAUUAAUGAAAGCCCCUCUCCCUCCUCUUUAAAAAUUUUUAAUUAAUAAUGAUAUUCUGUUGGGCUUUCGUAUUUUCUAUUUUUAAUAUUAUUUGUUUAUUUGUAUUAUAUAUUAUUUGUAAGAGCUAUAACUAGGUAGAUUGUAAGGAUCUGAUCCCCUGGCUUGGAUGUGUGUUGAUGAAGAAGCAGUCUGAGGAACGCCCAGGUCCCUCAUUUUAUGUGUCUCUAGGAGGAAGGUAGGACAUUUCCAACUGAGAACAGAAAAGAGAGCAGUUUGGGGGCUGGGUGGACCCCGAGGACUAGGGAGGAGGGUGUGGGAACUUGGCUGGGGGACACAAACAAUGUAGUCAGUUUGAAUACUUGCUAAAACAUCCACAAAGAGGGUUUUAUUGGUGAGUCCCGGACAGACAUCCAGGUUUGGGAGACCCCAGCAUUCAGCGCUCACGGAAGCCCUGGGUUUGUACGGAAUUCCUCCCAUGAGCACAGAGGGCUCCAGGGAAGGCGGCUGAGCAACAUUUUGAAGAGGCCCGCAGAAGAAAAGGAUUGAAGGAAACAGACUGAAGAGAGCUAGGGAGAAAACUGGGAAGAGAGUGGAGGCGCCAAAGCCCAUGGAAGACAGAGGAAGAUGAUGGCCAAACCCUGCCUCCAGGACAGACGAGAUAAGGAGGGAAGAAUGGCUGUAGUAUUUAUAGUUCUUUUUUUUAAAUUUUAUUUUAUUAUGUUAUGUUAAUCACCAUACAUUGCAUCAUUCGUUUUUGAUGUGUGUUCCAUGAUUCAUUGUUUGUGCAUAACACCCAGUGCUCCAUGCAGAAUGUGCCCUCUUUAAUACCCAUCACCAGGCUAACCCAUCCUCCCACCCCCCUCCCCUCUAGGACCCUCAGUUUGUUUCUCAGAGUCCAUAGGCUGUUGUAUUUAAUAGCACUGAGGCAUUGGUGUGGGGUUUCAGGCGAGUGGUGCACGCAGAAACAGACGUCAGCAUUGCGGACAGAGGGGAGAAGGAAGAGAGACCCGGCUGGGAGUGAGGGGCAGGCUGGUCAGGCAGCCACUGCAAACACUUGCUGGAUUAUAAAUGGAGGACGUUCCCAUCUCCUGGGGCUCCUGGGCGAUCAGUGCCUUCAGGACAGAAGUCCACCUUAAGGCUACUUUUCUGAUAUCAUCAUUGCCAUGCCAACUUCCUUUUCCUUAUUUUUAGCUUGGUGUGUCUUUUCCAUUCCUUUCCUUUCAAACCGUCUGUAUAUUAUAUCAUAUAUUAUAUUAUGUUAGAGUUUCUGUAUGUGCAGGCGUCUGCCGGACAAGUUCAACAAUAAUCUAGAUCUGGUAAGCCGACGGUCUCAAGACUCCUCUUACUUGACCUUUCCACAAAUUUCAACAAUAUUUUCCAUAGUUACUCACUCCUUCAAUUUUGAAACCGAGCCUGGGCGUCUGCGUGGGGAAUGGAAAAAAUUAUAGGCCUCCCAAGAGAAAGUAAAUCUUUUCCAUAAAGUGGCCUGACACAGCGUCCAAACAUACACUAUUCAUGUGGUUGAGGAAUCCCAAGCCAAGAGAUUAGUUUAAAACACGCCAGGGCAGCAAACCUUUGGGAUUCUCAGCAAAACAAAGGCUAAACCACUCUGCAGGGACAUUUCCACAACCCAGAGAAGGUGCGAGUCCCACGGGAGACAAGCUCACGAUUAAGUAAAAUACAGAACACAGGGAAAGCAAUCUUUUACAAUAUGUGCACUUGGCUUUAUCUUGCUGCAGAGUUGGAGAGCUUUUUUAAUCCAAACGGCAUGAAUUUCUCUAAAAACUCCAAGUUCUUACCUAGUAUCUUUUAAAAUGUUAUAUCUGCCCCAUUUUCUCUAUUUCUUCUUCUGAAACUAUUUUCUAGGCAUGUUGGACUUUCUCAUUUUAUUCUUCAUGAAUUCUAAUGAUGCUUUUAUAAACAUAUGUAUACACACACAUAUGCACGGACGCACAUGUGUUUAUAUACAUGUAGUUUAAAAUUAAUUUUUUAAAAAUUCAUUUUUGUUAAAGUACUAUAUGUACAAUAUUUAAAGCAAAAUGGUUCUAUAAGACUCGUGACAACAUAGGGAAGAGUCCCUGCCUCACAGUAGAUUUCAGCUUCCAAACGCAGCCAUUUCCAACUCUUUUUUUUUUUUUUUUA